GCAGGACAAAUGGUCGCUGCUGCGAUCGCCGAAAGGCGGCAGGAGAGGAAAGUCCGGGCUUCACAGGGCAGGAUGCCAGAUAACGUCUGGUGGAGGCGACUCCCAGGAUAGUGCAACAGAAAUAUACCGCGUGGGUUUAGACCCGCGUAAGGGUGGAAGGGCAGUGUAAGAGACUACCGCCUGGGUGGUAACACGCAGGGCACAUGUAAACCCCAUCUGAAGCAAGACCGAACAGAGAGCAUAUGGCGGCCCGUCAGCUCUCGGGCAGGUCGCUCGAGCCUGGUGGCGACAUCAGGACUAGAUAGAUGACCAUUCAACGACAUAACCCGGCUUAUCGUUCUGCUCA
rnacentral:RNase_P_RNA from 1 species